CGGGGCGUAGCUCAGUCUGGAUCAGAGCGCCUGGUUUGGGUCCAGGAGGUCGCUGGUUCGAAUCCAGUCGCCCCGA
rnacentral:tRNA from 1 species